GAGCGAAAGCGUGGGGAGCGAACAGGAUUAGAUACCCUGGUAGUCCACGCCGUAAACGGUGGGCGCUAGUUGUGCGAACCUUCCACGGUUUGUGCGACGCAGCUAACGCAUUAAGCGCCCCGCCUGGGGAGUACGAUCGCAAGAUUAAAACUCAAAGGAAUUGACGGGGCCCCGCACAAGCAGCGGAGCAUGCGGCUUAAUUCGACGCAACGCGAAGAACCUUACCAAGGCUUGACAUAUACAGGAAUAUGGCAGAGAUGUCAUAGCCGCAAGGUCUGCAUACAGGUGGUGCAUGGUUGUCGUCAGCUCGUGUCGUGAGAUGUUGGGUUAAGUCCCGCAACGAGCGCAACCCUCGUUCUGUGUUGCCAGCAUUUAGUUGGGGACUCACAGGAGACUGCCGGGGUUAACUCGGAGGAAGGUGGGGAUGACGUCAAAUCAUCAUGCCCCUUAUGUCUUGGGCUGCACGCAUGCUACAAUGGCUGGUACAAACGGCUGCAAUACCGCAAGGUGGAGCGAAUCCGAGAAAGCCAGUCUCAGUUCGGAUUGGGGUCUGCAACUCGACCCCAUGAAGUCGGAGUUGCUAGUAAUCGUAGAUCAGCAACGCUACGGUGAAUACGUUCCCGGGGCUUGUACACACCGCCCGUCACAUCACGAAAGUCGGUAACACCCAAAGUCAGUGGCCCAACC
rnacentral:rRNA from 1 species